rnacentral:rRNA from 1 species
UACGUAGGAGGCAAGCGUUGUCCGGAAUUACUGGGUGUAAAGCGCGUGUAGGCGGCAGGCCAAGUCUGUGGUGAAAUCGCUCGGCUCAACUGGGCGGGGUCCAUGGAAACUGGUCAGCUGGAGGACGGUAGAGGUGAGUGGAAUUCCCGGUGUAGUGGUGAAAUGCGAAGAUAUCAAGUGGAACACCUGUGGCGAAGGCGAGUCCCUGGACAAGACCUGACGCUGAGGCACGAAAGCUAGGGGAGCAAACAGG